UACAGAGGGGGCAAGCGUUGUUCGGAAUUACUGGGCGUAAAGGGCGCGUAGGCGGCUUGGCAAGUGGAUGGUGAAAUCCCUCGGCUUAACCGAGGAACUGCCGUCCAAACUGCUUCGCUUGAGACCGGGAGAGGUGAGUGGAAUUCCCAGUGUAGCGGUGAAAUGCGUAGAUAUUGGGAGGAACACCAGUGGCGAAGGCGGCUCACUGGACCGGUACUGACGCUGAUGCGCGAAAGCGUGGGGAGCAAACGGG
rnacentral:rRNA from 1 species